CCUACGGGUGGCAGCAGUGAGGAAUAUUGGUCAAUGGACGCAAGUCUGAACCAGCCAUGCCGCGUGCAGGAUGACGGCUCUAUGAGUUGUAAACUGCUUUUGUAGGGGAGUAAACCCCGGUACGUGUAUCGGGUUGAAGGUAUCGUACGAAUAAGGAUCGGCUAACUCCGUGCCAGCAGCCGCGGUAAUACGGAGGAUCCGGGCGUUAUCCGGAUUUAUUGGGUUUAAAGGGUGCGUAGGCGGUGUGAUAAGUUAGAGGUGAAAUGUCGGGGGUCAACCCCGGAACUGCCUCUAAUACUGGCGGACUAGAGAAGAGGUGAGGUAGGCGGAAUGCAUGGUGUAGCGGUGAAAUGCUUAGAGAUCAUACAGAACACCGAUUGCGAAGGCAGCUUACCAAACUAUAACUGACGUUGAGGCACGAAAGCGUGGGUAGCAAACAGGAUUAGAUACCCGUGUAGUC
rnacentral:rRNA from 1 species